AGUUGCACUACUCGUUUUUAUUCCUAUUUGUAUUGGUGUGUGUUUUGUUUGGGAAGUCGGCCAGCUCUUUGACUUCAGAUAAACCUGGACAUGGUGAAUUCAAACAUUUCCGAAGUUUUCGAAGUGUUUCAGAGCCUACAGCUCCACCACCAGGGGUCAGGCUGCACCCCGGUGUCGUCGCCUCCGUCGUAAUCGUCGCAACUGCUGCAAUAGUGGCUGCAUUUUUUAUUAUUAGGAAAUACUGUUUCCCGCAGAGUGAUGCCACAUACAGAUACUCUGUGCUGAGGCGGAUGGAGGAGCAGAGAGAGGAAGAAUCUGAUGAGGAUCUUUUGGAAUGAAACCAGGCGUGAUGUGGAAUUAUUAUUAGUAUAAAAAAACAAUAAUAAUUCUCAGGAUUUUCUUCAGAAACAGUUUGUCCUUUUCAGCCCCAUCUUCCUUCUGUCCUUAGUUUUAAUGCCAAAACUAUUAUGGGUUUUUAAAGGUCACAUGGUGCUGGUUAAUGUUGUAAAUGUGAAUGGCAAGAUUAUUUAUUAUGAACUGCCUUCAGGAUCCAGAGUGAAGCGAUCAAAAAGUUUGGAACUGUGAAACACAGCCAAUGAGUCUGAAAUUUUAUUUAUUUUGUUGUUGUUAUUGUUUGUUACAGGAAAAUACAACCCACUAUUUUCAAUGUUACUCUAAUUUUUGAGUUUUAAUGGGUUGAGAAUAUGUUUGAUUUAAACCUUAACAACUCAAAAGCAACCGAACAUAACCUAUCUUGAACCUAAUGUGUCCUGUUGGUGGAAAUUUCAGGAAUUAAAAGCUACAUGGCUCUGAUAAAUGGUCCAAAUAAGAUUGUACAUGUUUAAAUAAUAAGUCUAAUAUUUGACUAGUUGGAUCUUGUUUAAAAUAAAUCUGAACUAAGGGGGUCCAUGGAAUUUAUUAAAGUUAAAGGGGUUCUUGGCUGCAAAAAGUUUGAGAACCUCAGCACUACAGUAUAACACAAUAAUUAAAUGGGCUUUGUCACUAUCCUUAAUCUGUAUUCCCACUAAUUAUAAGGAAUUUUAUGCUGAAAGUUUUUCCUCAUUGCUUAUUGUGUGUAGUGUAGGUAAAACAUUGCAUUUUUUUCACAUUAAGAUUUAUGGGCAAUUGUCUAAUCAGGUGACUCCCCUUGGGCUUUUGCGCAUAUUUGCUUUAGUUAAGGAUUUUGUAUUUCUUUCAGUUUUUCUAAAUGUGAGUAGGGGUUACAUAUGUGUUUGGUCUACCAGUAUGGUUAGCACAUUUUCCUCGCACAUUUGGGGUGCCAGGAAAUCCCCGCCUCUGCCCUGUGCAUGCAGAGCUGGCAUGUUCUCCUCAUGCUUCAGGGGUUUCCUCUGGGUACUCUGGUUUCCUCCCCCAGUCCAAAGACAUGCACUAUAUGUUGAUUGGCAUUUCCAAAUUGUCCUUAGUGUGUGAAUGGGUGUGUGCGAUUGUGCCCUGUGAUGAGUUGGCACCCUGUCCAGGGUGUCCCCCUGCCUUGUGCCCCGAGUUCCCUGGGAUAGACUCCAGGCUCAGCCUUGUGUAGCAUAAGUGGUACAGAAAUUGGAUGGAUGUUAAAUCAGUCUUGGGUUAACGUAUAUUGUUAGAUAAGUUAAACAAGAUUCUUUCUGUGUCAUUUUGUGUUGUAAUUGUUUUGUUUUGCUGCCUGAGAAUGUGAGUAGAUUUCCUUGUUUGUUCACUGUGUGAUUUAUGUAGUGCUUCAUUGUAUGAAUUGAUAUGUACCUCUGAAACACCUGAGAGAAAUUUUAUGACCUGAAAUUGUUUGAGUAAUUGCUGAAAAUUCACCACUCAGGAUUAAAGUUAUUUAAAACCCCAUUGUUUAUUUGACUCACAUUUAGUCAUCUCUCU
ensembl:lncRNA